rnacentral:rRNA from 1 species
AGCUCCGGCUCGACUCUCCCACCCUUUGUGAACGUACCUCUGUUGCUCAAGGCGGCUCCGGCCGCCAAAGGACCUUCAAACUCCAGUCAGUAAACGCAGACGUCUGAUAAACAAGUUAAUAAACUAAAACUUUCAACAACGGAUCUCUUGGUUCUGGCAUCGAUGAAGAACGCAGCGAAAUGCGAUAAGUAAUGUGAAUUGCAGAAUUCAGUGAAUCAUCGAAUCUUUGAACGCACAUUGCGCCCCUUGGUAUUCCGGGGGGCAUGCCUGUUCGAGCGUCAUUACAACCCUCAAGCUCUGCUUGGAAUUGGGCACCGUCCUCACUGCGGACGCGCCUCAAAGACCUCGGCGGUGGCUGUUCAGCCCUCAAGCGUAGUAGAAUACACCUCGCUUUGGAGCGGUUGGCGUCGCCCGCCGGACGAACCUUCUGAACUUUUCUCAAGGUUGACCUCGGAUCAGGUAGGGAUACCCGCUGAACUUAAGCAUAUC